rnacentral:sRNA from 1 species
ACUCAACACUAACAUUUUAAAAUGGGUAAAUCGCCGCUUCUAUAGCAUGCUGCCUCGAGCAGAUCCUUGAACAGCGGGUUAGCCCAAAACUUGUCUAAACGAGUUU